rnacentral:lncRNA from 1 species
AAAACUUCAUUAUUGACUUAUUCAGUUUCACACUGAAAUAAACAAAGCAAAUCAUAUAUGAAUAUGCCUCCAUUUCCUAGACAACCUCCCUCCUCUCCACAACUGGCAGCCACCGCCACCAGCGGCGUAGGCCGGUUAAUCUUGGUUGAGUUGAACCCAAAGCGAGAACGUACAAACUCCCACAAGAUAUAUUACACGUUCAUUAACCAUAUCGUCCGACUCAAAAGAAAGGAUCAACAGCUCUCCCGACAUUUGAGGCUCGCACAUCACUGCAAUUGAAGUUAAGAAGAAGUCCCACAUGAAGAAAACUUCUAAGAGGCAAAUUGAGACUGUGGAGGAUGAUUCUAGCACCAGAAGAUGAAAAUUGUUCAACUAUAUAAAUCUCAGGCAAACGGUGUCUAUCGAAGCUGUUU